rnacentral:lncRNA from 1 species
CUGCGGUUUUCAAAAUUUUUGAAAUCUAUACAUGCUGCCUAUCCGAUUUUCUAACAUUCACCCUAGUACUUCAAGAGUCAACCCCUAAUAUGCAUGAGUCAGACCUAAGAUCAAUAUAGUUAACCUCAUAAUAGUCUUAGAUGAAAGAUAAAGGACACCCCAAAUCAACAGUUUCUCAAGUUGAUCCAAAGAGAAGAUGGUUGACCCUUGAAACUCAUGAGUCAACCUAAGAAGCUUACAAGUCGACUCCUGAUGAAGACAAUGUUGGGGAGGAUCCCUCACAAGUAUGGAAUACAAAUCCCCCAACUUAGGAUCUCAAUACCAAUGAUGGUGUCAACACCGCAAC